GCUUCUAUUUUUCCCUGACUACUGUGUUUUGUUGUUCUGUUCUAUUUUGUCUCUAUAUGUUGCCCAUUCUUGUCUGUUCUUUUGCUUUGCAUUUUCUGUCAGCGUCUUUGGGUCAUUGAAAAGCGCUUUACAAAUAUAAUGAAUUAUUAUUAUUAUUAUUAUAUAAUAAUGUAUGUGCUGUUGAUUUGGUAUUUAGUUGCAUAACUGUCUCCUUCGUGGACACUCUGUGACUGGGAUCGUUUAUGCACAAUUUAAUAUCUUGUGGACAUAUUGUUUGGGACUUCCUGGAGAUCCCUCCAGGCCCCCCCCCACCCCAGGGAUCCCCCUCAUGGACUCCCUGGACUAAUUGAGAACCGCCUUUCGCUUUUUUGUCUCCGGCUGAAUGUUUUGGGGUUUUUUUUCUUCUCCCAGCUGUCACCUUCGGCAUGCGUUGCCAUGGUUACCCGUGUCUCACCCUGGGUAGCUGCACCCUGGGUGAUCCCGAAAAGGUGCCUCGCUGAAUGGGACAUCAUCGAUUGAGUGGAGAUUGAGGCGAUGACACACACACACACACACAGUCACAGACUCGGAAAUGAGACUGGCUUUUUGGCGAGCGAGCGUGUGCACAGUCUGACUCGAUGAAAAGUUUCCUCUCUGAAGGGGAGGCAGCGGCGCGGAUUGAGCCGUCACUUGAAGAGAACUCUGCUCUUCAUCCCCGUGUGUGGAAAUGGACAGAUCCCUCUCUUUCUCGCUUUCAUGCUGUCAAAAGUAAACAUUUCCUUUGGGGUACUGCGAACUAAAGCCCUGAAGACAAGCGGCCGCAGGUGGAGAUACAUGUAGGCUACUGCAUUUAAAGAACACUAACCACACACACACACACACACACUUCCUGUCUAAAGCAUGUCUGUGUAUACAGUGCCAGAGUGAGGGAGUAACAUCACCACCGGGCUUCCGCCCACUCGCCCCCCAUGUUACUGUGUGAUCCAUCCUCACGCUCCUUUGGUCCUUUGCUUGCCGCCUGUUGGACUGUUUGUUGGUAAAUCUUUGACCGUUUCUUCGGCACAUGGACUCUAAUCGGACUCUCUUGCGCACACAACAAAAAAAACAUGAAAAAAAUA